UUCAUCCAUUUACAAUUGGAUUUAGAAAUCAGCACAUAAACCCUCCCAACUCAUUUCUCUUGGUCGGCCAAAGGAAGAAAAGGGAAGAAAAGAAGAAGAACAAAACCCUAGCUAAGAAAUUCAAGAGAAAUUCACCAAAUUUCAAGGAAUUAAGCCAUCAAAGGUGAAAUUUCUUGAUUCUAGCUUGUGAUCUACCUUGCCUAUGC
rnacentral:lncRNA from 1 species